UGGGGAAUCUUAGACAAUGGGGGAAACCCUGAUCUAGCCAUGCCGCGUGUGUGACGAAGGCCCUAGGGUCGUAAAGCACUUUCGCCGGGGAAGAUAAUGACUGUACCCGGUAAAGAAGUCCCGGCUAACUCCGUGCCAGCAGCCGCGGUAAUACGUAGGGGCCUAGCGUUGUCCGGAAUUAUUGGGCGUAAAGAGCUCGUAGGCGGCCCACCAAGUCGGAUGUGAAAUCUCAAGGCUCAACCUUGAAAUUGCAUCCGAUACUGAUGGGCUUGAGGCAGGUAGGGGAAGGUGGAAUUCCUGGUGUAGCGGUGAAAUGCGCAGAUAUCAGGAGGAACACCGGUGGCGAAGGCGGCCUUCUGGGCCUGUACUGACGCUGAGGAGCGAAAGCGUGGGGAGCAAACAGGAUUAGAUACCCCGGUAGUCC
rnacentral:rRNA from 1 species